rnacentral:rRNA from 1 species
CGGGACGGGUGAGUAAUGUCUGGGAAACUGCCUGAUGGAGGGGGGUAACUACUGGAAACGGUAGCUAAUACCGCAUAACGUCGCAAGACCAAAGAGGGGGACCUUAGGGCCUCUUGCCAUCGGAUGUGCCCAGAUGGGAUUAGCUAGUAGGUGGAGUAACGGCUCACCUAGGCGACGAUCCCUAGCUGGUCUGAGAGGAUGACCAGCCACACUGGAACUGAGACACGGUCCAG